rnacentral:lncRNA from 1 species
UGAACUAAAGCAAUUCAGGAAAUAUAAUAUUCCUUAAAUUAAAACAUCCAUUUAAUUAUAAAAUAGGUACCAACAACUUCUAAUAAUUGCUAAUCAAAAUGUAUCAACAUAAACUAAUAAUACUUAAAAAAUCCAUAUUGUUUGGAAUACAUGUUUACCAAAAAAAGAAAAAAAAAAAAAAAAAAUAAUCCUGUGAUCUUCAAAAGUCUUCAAUCUAAUAGCUAGUCAUCCAAAACCCUUCAAUCGACAAGCUAAAUACCCAAAGUUCUUCUAUCUGCAAUUUGAAAAAUGCACAUUGAUUAUUAUAUGUUGGCGAGAUUGUGGGUCCAUAACAAAAAAAUAAAAAAACAUAAGCCCAUUAACUGCAAAACUUGAUCCUAGGAUAAAUGUUGGUAGCAUCAGAACUAAGAAUAAUCAAAAACUGUGUACCACGUAAAAACGUUUAUCUACAAUAAAGAAACUACUGUCAUCUUUUGUAUAUACUAUAAGGGAUACUUCAGGUUCUAUUCUAAACAGGGUUUUAUUUCCAUGUAAAAGACAUACUACUCUUUCUCUCUACAUAUAGAGAAGAAAACUUGUGAAAAUCUAAAUUAUAAUCUUUCAAUUCAUGCACUUCAUAUUCAUACAAAAGGGGCUAAAACUCAUGCAAAAUAACACAUUAUAUCCAUACAUUUUAAAUGUAAAGUCUUACCAGGAAGAUUCACCAGUGAAGAACGACUGAAAAGCUGGAAUACUUGCUAACUGUAAUAGAAAUUCCUCGGUUUUAGCCUGUCGGGCAUUCAGAUUCUCUACUUGUGUAGAAAGUUGCCUCUCGGUUUCCUCUGCUUUUCGCCUAUACUCUUCAAAAGCUACAUUGUUGGAGUUGUAUACUACAGACUGUGAUGUUGAUAUAAACCCAUUUCCAAGUCCACGAAUGUAGUUACGUCUCUUUCCUAAUACCUCAUCACAUAUUUCAUCCUCGGUCAUUGGAUUAGACCCUUCUGCUGGAGGUGUAUCUUUGAGUAUCAACAUUUCAUCCUAUAAUAAAAUGCAUUCUCGUAAGUAUUAACAAUAAUAAUAUUAUCCAGAUAAAAUUCUGCACACAAAAAUUAGAUUCUUACAUAGUUUUUCUGUGCGAGAGGAGAAACCCAGCCCUUAN